GGUUAAGCGACUAAGCGUACACGGUGGAUGCCCUGGCAGUCAGAGGCGAUGAAGGACGUGCUAAUCUGCGAUAAGCGUCGGUAAGGUGAUAUGAACCGUUAUAACCGGCGAUUUCCGAAUGGGGAAACCCAGUGUGUUUCGACACACUAUCAUUAACUGAAUCCAUAGGUUAAUGAGGCGAACCGGGGGAACUGAAACAUCUAAGUACCCCGAGGAAAAGAAAUCAACCGAGAUUCCCCCAGUAGCGGCGAGCGAACGGGGAGCAGCCCAGAGCCUGAAUCAGUGUGUGUGUUAGUGGAAGCGUCUGGAAAGGCGCGCGAUACAGGGUGACAGCCCCGUACACAAAAAUGCACAUACUGUGAGCUCGAUGAGUAGGGCGGGACACGUGGUAUCCUGUCUGAAUAUGGGGGGACCAUCCUCCAAGGCUAAAUACUCCUGACUGACCGAUAGUGAACCAGUACCGUGAGGGAAAGGCGAAAAGAACCCCGGCGAGGGGAGUGAAAAAGAACCUGAAACCGUGUACGUACAAGCAGUGGGAGCCUCUUUUAUGGGGUGACUGCGUACCUUUUGUAUAAUGGGUCAGCGACUUAUAUUCUGUAGCAAGGUUAACCGAAUAGGGGAGCCGAAGGGAAACCGAGUCUUAACUGGGCGUUAAGUUGCAGGGUAUAGACCCGAAACCCGGUGAUCUAGCCAUGGGCAGGUUGAAGGUUGGGUAACACUAACUGGAGGACCGAACCGACUAAUGUUGAAAAAUUAGCGGAUGACUUGUGGCUGGGGGUGAAAGGCCAAUCAAACCGGGAGAUAGCUGGUUCUCCCCGAAAGCUAUUUAGGUAGCGCCUCGUGAAUUCAUCUCCGGGGGUAGAGCACUGUUUCGGCAAGGGGGUCAUCCCGACUUACCAACCCGAUGCAAACUGCGAAUACCGGAGAAUGUUAUCACGGGAGACACACGGCGGGUGCUAACGUCCGUCGUGAAGAGGGAAACAACCCAGACCGCCAGCUAAGGUCCCAAAGUCAUGGUUAAGUGGGAAACGAUGUGGGAAGGCCCAGACAGCCAGGAUGUUGGCUUAGAAGCAGCCAUCAUUUAAAGAAAGCGUAAUAGCUCACUGGUCGAGUCGGCCUGCGCGGAAGAUGUAACGGGGCUAAACCAUGCACCGAAGCUGCGGCAGCGACGCUUAUGCGUUGUUGGGUAGGGGAGCGUUCUGUAAGCCUGUGAAGGUGUGCUGUGAGGCAUGCUGGAGGUAUCAGAAGUGCGAAUGCUGACAUAAGUAACGAUAAAGCGGGUGAAAAGCCCGCUCGCCGGAAGACCAAGGGUUCCUGUCCAACGUUAAUCGGGGCAGGGUGAGUCGACCCCUAAGGCGAGGCCGAAAGGCGUAGUCGAUGGGAAACAGGUUAAUAUUCCUGUACUUGGUGUUACUGCGAAGGGGGGACGGAGAAGGCUAUGUUGGCCGGGCGACGGUUGUCCCGGUUUAAGCGUGUAGGCUGGUUUUCCAGGCAAAUCCGGAAAAUCAAGGCUGAGGCGUGAUGACGAGGCACUACGGUGCUGAAGCAACAAAUGCCCUGCUUCCAGGAAAAGCCUCUAAGCAUCAGGUAACAUCAAAUCGUACCCCAAACCGACACAGGUGGUCAGGUAGAGAAUACCAAGGCGCUUGAGAGAACUCGGGUGAAGGAACUAGGCAAAAUGGUGCCGUAACUUCGGGAGAAGGCACGCUGAUAUGUAGGUGAAGUGAUUUACUCAUGGAGCUGAAAUCAGUCGAAGAUACCAGCUGGCUGCAACUGUUUAUUAAAAACACAGCACUGUGCAAACACGAAAGUGGACGUAUACGGUGUGACGCCUGCCCGGUGCCGGAAGGUUAAUUGAUGGGGUCAGCGCAAGCGAAGCUCUUGAUCGAAGCCCCGGUAAACGGCGGCCGUAACUAUAACGGUCCUAAGGUAGCGAAAUUCCUUGUCGGGUAAGUUCCGACCUGCACGAAUGGCGUAAUGAUGGCCAGGCUGUCUCCACCCGAGACUCAGUGAAAUUGAACUCGCUGUGAAGAUGCAGUGUACCCGCGGCAAGACGGAAAGACCCCGUGAACCUUUACUAUAGCUUGACACUGAACAUUGAGCCUUGAUGUGUAGGAUAGGUGGGAGGCUUUGAAGUGUGGACGCCAGUCUGCAUGGAGCCGACCUUGAAAUACCACCCUUUAAUGUUUGAUGUUCUAACGUUGACCCGUAAUCCGGGUUGCGGACAGUGUCUGGUGGGUAGUUUGACUGGGGCGGUCUCCUCCUAAAGAGUAACGGAGGAGCACGAAGGUUGGCUAAUCCUGGUCGGACAUCAGGAGGUUAGUGCAAUGGCAUAAGCCAGCUUGACUGCGAGCGUGACGGCGCGAGCAGGUGCGAAAGCAGGUCAUAGUGAUCCGGUGGUUCUGAAUGGAAGGGCCAUCGCUCAACGGAUAAAAGGUACUCCGGGGAUAACAGGCUGAUACCGCCCAAGAGUUCAUAUCGACGGCGGUGUUUGGCACCUCGAUGUCGGCUCAUCACAUCCUGGGGCUGAAGUAGGUCCCAAGGGUAUGGCUGUUCGCCAUUUAAAGUGGUACGCGAGCUGGGUUUAGAACGUCGUGAGACAGUUCGGUCCCUAUCUGCCGUGGGCGCUGGAGAACUGAGGGGGGCUGCUCCUAGUACGAGAGGACCGGAGUGGACGCAUCACUGGUGUUCGGGUUGUCAUGCCAAUGGCACUGCCCGGUAGCUAAAUGCGGAAGAGAUAAGUGCUGAAAGCAUCUAAGCACGAAACUUGCCCCGAGAUGAGUUCUCCCUGACCCUUUAAGGGUCCUGAAGGAACGUUGAAGACGACGACGUUGAUAGGCCGGGUGUGUAAGCGCAGCGAUGCGUUGAGCUAACCGGUACUAAUGAACCGUGAGGCUUAACCUU
rnacentral:rRNA from 1 species